UACGUAGGGUGCGAGCGUUAAUCGGAAUUACUGGGCGUAAAGCGUGCGCAGGCGGUUUUGUAAGCCAGAUGUGAAAUCCCCGGGCUUAACCUGGGAAUGGCAUUUGGGACUGCAAGGCUGGAGUGUGGCAGAGGAGACUGGAAUUCCCGGUGUAGCAGUGAAAUGCGUAGAGAUCGGGAGGAACAUCUGUGGCGAAGGCGACUGCCUGGACCAGCACUGACACUGAGGCACGAAAGCGUGGGGAGCAAACAGG
rnacentral:rRNA from 1 species